GAUGAACGCUGGCGGCGUGCCUAAUACAUGCAAGUCGAGCGAACAGACGAGGAGCUUGCUCCUCUGACGUUAGCGGCGGACGGGUGAGUAACACGUGGAUAACCUACCUAUAAGACUGGGAUAACUUCGGGAAACCGGAGCUAAUACCGGAUAAUAUAUUGAACCGCAUGGUUCAAUAGUGAAAGACGGUUUUGCUGUCACUCAUAGAUGGAUCCGCGCCGCAUUAGCUUGUUGGUAAGGUAACGGCUUACCAAGGCAACGAUGCGUAGCCGACCUGAGAGGGUGAUCGGCCACACUGGAACUGAGACACGGUCCAGACUCCUACGGGAGGCAGCAGUAGGGAAUCUUCCGCAAUGGGCGAAAGCCUGACGGAGCAACGCCGCGUGAGUGAUGAAGGUCUUCGGAUCGUAAAACUCUGUUAUUAGGGAAGAACAAAUGUGUAAGUAACUAUGCACGUCUUGACGGUACCUAAUCAGAAAGCCACGGCUAACUACGUG
rnacentral:rRNA from 1 species